CCACUUUGAGAGGAAGUAUAUCCUCAUUCGGUGUACGUCUCACAAGCUAUCAACAUCAGCAGGAGCAGAAUAAGUUAUCUGGUACCAUGGCCCUAUUGGAGCUCUAGGAGAUGGUUUUAACAUGGAAGCAUCUUCUUCAGGGAGAUCUACAGGACGUUUUCAGCCAGGUGUUUUAUUUUAUCAUUUCUCGCUCAGGUCCUCUUUAGGCUUCUUAUCUUUAUUGACAAUAAUAAAAUGUAUGGUUUAUAUCCACCAUUGUGGAUAUGGUAGUUCUCAAUGACAUGAUUUUGUGCGUUAUAUGCAGUCAAGUUGAUCAUUAUUAGCAAUCUUGAUAAAGAUUAGCAAAAAAUACUACAAUACUAUAAUAUAUAAAUAUGUAAUAUAAAAUAAACCAUACAAAUGUUGAGCUAUAUGGUAAGUAAAAAAUUAGGAAAUUUUAUACUAAUACAAUUGUUUAGAGAAAUAUAUAUUUGUAACAAGUCAUACAAAAACAAUCUAAAAAGAUAGGGGUCAAAAUGAUUGGCACCCCUGUUUUCAAUACUCCAGCACCCUCUCUUUGAGAGGAUAAUUACACUGUUACACUGAGCCUUAAUCUAAAAUGUUUUACGAGAUUGGAGAACACUUUGGGAGAGAUCUUAGACCAUUCCUCCAUUCAGAAUCUUUCCAGAUCCUUGAUAUCAUUUGCCUGCUCUUAUGGACUACCCUCUUCAAUUCCAACCACAGGAUACUGAUAUGGCCAUUGCACAAUGUUGAUUUUGUGAUUAUAUUGAUUGGUGCUUGGGGUUAUUGUCUUUUGGAAGUGUAAGCCUCCUGGCAGAGACAACCAGGUUUUUGGCUAAAAUGUCCUGGUACUUGGUAAAGUUCAUGAUGCCGUUGACCUUACGGGCCCCAGGACCAGUGGAAGCAAAUCAUCUUACUGGGAUGAGUAAGCAGUUAGCGGACAGCAGACAAAGCUACAGUAUGAGGUCGGGAGCCCUUGGCACCAUGGGCUGGAAUGCCCCAGAGGUCCUGGAUGACAGCAGGAAAGUAAACCCUGUGAGUGGCUCCUGAUCUUUACACUGGACCAGAGAACUGUUCAAGUCAUUACAGAUUCAGAGAUAAUCCAGAAAGAAAUGUGAUGAAAUAGGCUAAUUGGCAUUUCCUUACAGGAGUUAAACAGGAAUGGCCCAUUGCUUGAAGGAACAGUUCACCCUAAAAUCAAAGUUGAUCUUCUGUUGUGGAGAUCAAGCUCCAGUAUAUUACACAUACGUACAUAAGAAAGAUAGGCACCAUCUACACAACCAUGGUGUGGGAUGUGGACUAUGCUCGACAUUAGACCACUUUUGGGGAUAAAAGAUGAACCACUUUCCAUCCUUAAGUUUAUGCCAGUAAAGUCAUAUUAUAUAUAUAUUUUUUUUUUAAAUGUGAUGGAACCAGGAAGUUUAGGUACAAUUUUAUGAUUGCCAAUAGAUAAUUUGUUCGUUCGACAUGGUGGGAUCUUUUGUGCCUGUAAAAUGAAUUAUGUGAGAAAUGGCAGUGGAAACGGCUUUAUGCGCAAAUAUUGAUAUAAUAACCACCAUACUGAAGUAAACUUGGAGUCACACGAUGAUAUUUUGUGUGGUCCUCCCACUACGAAUUUGUUGGCUAGAGAGCACAUGCCAAGACCAGAGUAGGCACAUUUCUAUUUAAUGCAACAGCUUUUGUGACAAAACUAUUGGUAGAAUUGAAAAUACAAUGGAAACACAUUCAACUUCUGAGUUUUAUUCGGUACAUGAAAACUUAAGUGAAAAAGUACAUUUUGUGUACACUAUGUCAUCACACUGAUUUUUAUCCACAGAUUUAUAUCCUUAACUAGUUUUAUCCUCAACAUAUUUGCUUACUAAAUAUGCUACCUGUAUAUGAAAUAAAUGUUGAGACAGAUUAAGUUCACUGUGACUGUUGCAUUCAUGAGUUUUUAACUUGCACUAUAUAGUAAUUUUCCUAUUUAGCUCGUUGGUAUGUUUUAGUUUUCAUGCCUUGUGGAGAACUAGUCGGCUGAAGAUUUCCUGACAGGUAGACUAUAUUUAUAGGAUAUCUAACUUUAAACCAGGACAUUGUGAGGUAUUUCAAUCUUGCUGCAUUAUGAGACUUGACGAGGGAUUGGUGUGUUUUACAGGUUUUAGAAUAAAUUAUUAGAAUGUACUCUAUGGAAUACUCAUUGCAUGUAUUUUCUCUUGCCAGAUCUAUGUAAAUUCUGGUUGUAUAAAGGAGGGUCUGUCAGAGAUCUUCUCUGUGCCAUAAGAAACAAGGUAUGGGUGUCUUUCCAGCUAAAUGGAACAACAAUACUUUUAUGAUGUACUAUUUAUGGCUGGAGGGAAGGAGUGACAGAAUUAUAAUUUGAUGUAACCGUGUAUGUAUAACCUUCUCUGUGCAACAGCCUCGUAUGUGUGUUUACCUGAUUAAAGAUGGAUGUUUACAUGAAUCGCUUUUUCUUUGUCCCCUCCUAUAGAAGCACUCUGAUUAAAUGUUCUCUUACCUCCUCCCUAAGGCAUAACUGUCGUUUUCUACCAAACACAGGUUACAGUGCUCAGACAAGGGAAGGGCAACUUCUUUGACAGCUCUGUGAUUUGGGCAGGACUGAAAUGAUGCCCUAACUUUAUUCCACAGCUCUCACUCUUCACUAUACAGAGAGGACAGAACCCCCAGGUGCUGCUUUGUUCUUCGCCUACAAUGCAUUUAAACACAGUGAUAAUGUUGCUUAUUUUUUUGAGGUGAGUUGAAAACAUGAUUUGCUUAUGUAUUUAGACAGUAGCAGCUCUUUGGCAUUAAGCAAUUACACACACACACCCCGUGCCCAAGGCCACAGAGCCACUGCAGACACUGUGGCUCUGUCCUGUACUGGUGAGGACCAGGCCUGCAUUGCCCGGGAGCCGCCGACAGGGGGAGCAGCAAAACAAACCAGGCUCAGAAUGUAUCCGUCCUCAAGGUCCCCCGAAGCAUCAAGAAGCCAGGGUGGAAAUGAACUAGUUUAGGCCAUACUGUGUAGUAUAGAGAUAAUAUUUUAUUUUCACUAGAAUCUCUCCUAAUGUCAAGUAUUCUGAGGUAUUUAAGUAUUGUACAUAUUAUCUUGAAUAACCGGUUUACAUAUUACAUUGACUCUGUACUGGUACACCCUGUAUAUAGCCUCACUAUUGUUAUUUUACUGCUGCUCUUUAAUUAUUUGUUACUUUUAUUUUUUAUUUAUCUAUUUUUUACUUAACACUUAUUUUUCUUAAACCCUCAUUGUUUUAAGGGCUUGUAUAAGUAAGCAUUUCACUGUAAGGUGAAAUGUUGUAUUUGGUGCAUGUGACAAAUAAAAUUGGAUUUGAUGUGUUGGGCACAAAA